AUUGAACGCUGGCGGCAUGCCUUACACAUGCAAGUCGAACAGUAACAGGUCUUCGGAUGCUGACGAGUGGCGAACGGGUGAGUAAUACAUCGGAACGUGCCUAGUAGUGGGGGAUAACUACUCGAAAGAGUGGCUAAUACCGCAUGAGAUCUACGGAUGAAAGCAGGGGAUCGCAAGACCUUGUGCUACUAGAGCGCCGAUGGCAGAUUAGGUAGUUGGUGGGAUAAAAGCUUACCAAGCCGACGAUCUGUAGCUGGUCUGAGAGGACGAUCAGCCACACUGGGACUGAGACACGGCCCAGACUCCUACGGGAGGCAGCAGUGGGGAAUUUUGGACAAUGGGCGCAAGCCUGAUCCAGCAAUGCCGCGUGCAGGAUGAAGGCCUUCGGGUUGUAAACUGCUUUUGUACGGAACGAAAAGCCCCGGGUUAAUACCCUGGGGUCAUGACGGUACCGUAAGAAUAAGCACCGGCUAACUACGUGCCAGCCGCCGCCGUAA
rnacentral:rRNA from 1 species